GGAGUGCUCGAAAGAGAACCUGCACACAGGUGCUGCAUGGCUGUCGUCAGCUCGUGUCGUGAGAUGUUGGGUUAAGUCCCGCAACGAGCGCAACCCUUGCCAUUAGUUGCUACGAAAGGGCACUCUAAUGGGACUGCCGGUGACAAACCGGAGGAAGGUGGGGAUGACGUCAAGUCCUCAUGGCCCUUAUAGGUGGGGCUACACACGUCAUACAAUGGCCGGUACAGAGGGUAGCCAACCCGCGAGGGGGGAGCCAAUCCCACAAAGCCGGUCGUAGUCCGGAUCGCAGUCUGCAACUCGACUGCGUGAAGUCGGAAUCGCUAGUAAUCGUGGAUCAGCAUGUCACGGUGAAUGCGUUCCCGGGUCUU
rnacentral:rRNA from 1 species